UCCUUUGAUGAAAACGUUAGGAAGUGCCGUCUGAUGCGAUAACUGACGACGGCUAUACAUUUAUUCUGAGG